rnacentral:tRNA from 1 species
GGUUUAUAGCUCAGUGGCAGAGCGCUUGCUUUGCACGCAUGAGGCCCUGGGUUCAAUCCUCAGCACCA